rnacentral:rRNA from 1 species
CCUACGGGGGGCAGCAGUAGGGAAUCUUUCACAAUGGGCGAAAGCCUGAUGGAGCAACGCCGCGUGCAUGAUGAAGGCUUUCGGUAUGUAAACUGCUUUUAUAAGCGAGAAAUAUGAUGGUAACUUAUGAAUAAGGACCGGCUAACUACGUGCCAGCAGCCGCGGUCAUACGUAGGAUGCGAGCGUUAUCCGGAUUGACUGGGUGUAAAGGGAGCGUAGGAGGCAGCACAAGUCUGGAGUGGAAUGCCGGGGCUUCACCCCGGAACUGCUUUGGAAAAUGUGCAGCUAGAGUGCAGGAGAGGUAAGUGGAAGUCCGGGUGUAGCGGUGAAAUGCGUAGAGAUUAGGAGGAACACCAGUGGCGAAGGCGGCUUACUGGACUGUAACUGACGUUGAGGCUCGAAAGCGUGGGGAGCAAACAGGAUUAGAUACCCGAGUAGUC